GACUUUCCCAGUCUGCAUCUGCAUUGGAAUUGUUUUAUGGAUGUUUUCAUCAUUUUCAUUAUUUGUUGUUUGCCACCCUGGGCUCCUUUGGGAGGAAUGGCAGGAUAGAUAUUUAAUAAAGAAAUAAAUGAUAGUUAGCUUGCGUCUACCACAGUAAUGGAGAAUCAGAAUGAAGUUCCCUGGGAAAGAAGAUACCACAUCCAAAGAAGGAAGCAGGUGUACAAAUUAACCACUUCCAAGUCAGGGAGGUAGUGAUAAAAAACACACACACCAUAUAGGACUCUUUUAAGUCUCUGUAUUUGGAAUGAGUGUGCUUUAAAUCCUUUAACAAGGAUCCAUUGGAGGCCGAGUCUGGUGCCAGCAGCCAUGGUAAUUCCAGCUGCAGUC